rnacentral:rRNA from 1 species
AUUGAACGCUGGCGGCAUGCCUUACACAUGCAAGUCGAACGGUAACGCGGGGCAACCUGGCGACGAGUGGCGAACGGGUGAGUAAAGCAUCGGAACGUGCCCAGUAGUGGGGGAUAGCCCGGCGAAAGCCGGAUUAAUACCGCAUACGACAUAAGGGUGAAAGGGGGGGAUCGCAAGACCUCUCGCUAUUGGAGCGGCCGAUGUCAGAUUAGCUAGUUGGUGGGGUAAAAGCUCACCAAGGCGACGAUCUGUAGCUGGUCUGAGAGGACGACCAGCCACACUGGGACUGAGACACGGCCCAGACUCCUACGGGAGGCAGCAGUGGGGAAUUUUGGACAAUGGACGAAAGUCUGAUCCAGCCAUGCCGCGUGCGGGAAGAAGGCCUUCGGGUUGUAAACCGCUUUUGUCAGGGAAGAAAUCCUUUGAGCUAAUACCUCGGGGGGAUGACGGUACCUGAAGAAUAAGCACCGGCUAACUACGUGCCAGCCGCCGCCGUAA